rnacentral:rRNA from 1 species
UACGUAGGUGACAAGCGUUGUCCGGAUCUACUGGGCGUAAAGAGCGCGCAGGCGGUCGUUCAAGUCGAGUGUGAAAGCCCCCGGCUCAACUGGGGAGGGUCAUUCGAUACUGAUCGACUCGAAGGCAGGAGAGGGUAGUGGAAUUCCCGGUGUAGUGGUGAAAUGCGUAGAUAUCGGGAGGAACACCAGUGGCGAAGGCGACUACCUGGCCUGUUCUUGACGCUGAGGCGCGAAAGCUAGGGGAGCAAACGGG